rnacentral:rRNA from 1 species
GAUGAACGCUGGCGGCGUGCCUAAUACAUGCAAGUCGAGCGAACGGACGAGAAGCUUGCCUCUCUGAUGUUAGCGGCGGACGGGUGAGUAACACGUGGAUAACCUACCUAUAAGACUGGGAUAACUUCGGGAAACCGGAGCUAAUAUCGGAUGAUAUUUUGAACCGCAUGGUUCAAAAGUGAAAGACGGUCUUGCUGUCACUUAUAGAUGCUUCCGCGCUUCAUUAGCUAGUUGGUAAGGUAACGGCUUACCAAGGCAACGAUACAUAGCCGACCUGAGAGGGUGAUCGGCCACACUGGAACUGAGACACGGUCCAGACUCCUACGAGCGGCAGCAGUAGGGAAUCGUCCGCAAUGGGCGAAAGCCUGACGGAGCAACCCCGCGUGAGUGAUGAAGUUCUUCGGAGCUUGAAACUCUGUUAUUAGGGAAGAACAUAUGUGUAAGUAUUGGUGCACAUCUUGACGGAACCUAAUAAGAAAGGCACGGCUAACUACGUG